rnacentral:misc_RNA from 1 species
CGUGACACAAUCAACUAAAAGAGGGGAUAAAAGUGGAGGGAUAUUAUACUCGCGUGUUCGCGUAAAUGUACGUCCUAUCAUCGGCACACCAAUGCCAUGGCAAACAAUGUGUUGCACACCGUCGUCACUGUUGGACAGCUAGUGUUUCGAACGGUCUUGUGUAUUACGUGAUAAUAAUUUAAUUUUUUUAUCAAAAUACAUGAUUUAUAAUCAACAUAUUAUUUUUAUUUAAUUAAAAAAAAAAAAAACCAUAUAUAAAAUAAAAAAAACAUAAUUAAAUUUGCAUGUCAAUUUAAUUCAAUAUAAAAUAUUUAACGUGUUAAUUAUUUUGUUACUUUUUUUUUUCAAUUUUCAAUUAAUUUGCACGGUUUGAUUUGUUUGAUUUUAAUUUGGCUUUUAAUUAAUAUAUAUUUUUCAUUUAUUUUGUUUGUUUGUUUGUUGUUUUUUUUAUUUUUAAAUUUGCUUGUUUGAAUUUUUGAUAAUUGAGUGUGAUAUUAAAUAUGAUUUGUCGUAAAAUUUGUUGAUUGAGUUUUAAUGGGUGGUUUAUUUGGCAACACGUGAGUAAAAGUUUAAACGUGUGAAUUAUGGAAACGAGAAUUGGUGUGUCCAGUGGGGGUAUUACAGGAACAAGUGUUGAACCGGUGAGAUGUGUAACAACACCCUCACCGGUUCAUCAACCACAAACAAUAACAAUAUCAUCAUCAUCUUCAUCAUCAUCAGCAAUAACACCAACAGCAACAUCAACAACAUCAUCAAUAAAUUCAAUAUCAUCAUCAAUAACAACAAGUACAAAUAAUGCUAUUGGUAGUAUUAGUGGUAUUGCUGCUGCUGUUGCUGCUGCUGCUGCUUCAAUAACAACUGGUACAUCAUCAAUGAGUCCAACUGGUGCAACACCAGUAUCAGGUUCAUCUGGACCAAGAAUACUCAGUAGAAAUGUCAAUGGAACACUUGUCCAGACUUCGGUACCACAGAAUGAAGCUGAAUUACAACUUUAUAGGGUCAUGCAGAGAGCAUCAUUGCUUGGUUAUUAUGACACACUUCUUGAAAUGGGUGGUGAUGAUGUACAGCAACUUUGUGAUGCAGGUGAAGAAGAAUUUCUUGAAAUAAUGGCAUUGGUAGGAAUGGCCAGUAAGCCACUUCAUGUACGAAGACUUCAAAAAGCUCUUCAAGAAUGGAUAACAAAUCCAUCUAUAUUUCAGAGUCCUGUAGUACCAACAACAAGCACAAAAAAUUCAACAUCAACAGUUACAACAUUUCCAAGUUCAAGUCCAAGAAUUCAAAGUUCAAGUGGUUUUAAUUCAACAUCACAAACAACAAGUCCAACAACACUUUUUGAUAAAGCUCCAACAAACAAUGUGCCUCUUGUACCUUUGUCAAGUAGAAGUGUAAGUCCAGUAACUCCAGUUGCUACUGUUGUUUCUACUGCUGCAAUUUUACCAACAGUACCAACAUCAACAUUUCGACAAAGUCCAAGUCCAAAUACACCAAUAGCAUAUUCUGGUGGACAAAGUCCAGGAGUUCUUCAGGUGGGUACAUGUGAAUCAUCAUGUGGAAGUGGAACAACACUUAGUCCAGGUGGUUUAAAUGCACCACAAAGUCCAACACAAGCAAUACCAACAUUAUUACCAUCACAAGUUCAACGUCUUGCUGAUGCUGCUGAACGUCUUGCUGGUAAUUUACGUCCACUUGAUCCAAAACCUCACAAUGUUAAAAAAAAAAUUUGCAAAGAUCUUGAGCAGAUGGUGAUGGCAAUGCCAGACACUGACCCAAGACGAAUGGAUGAGAUAAGAAAAUACGCAGCGAUUUAUGGUAGAUUUGACUGCAAAAGAAAACCCGAAAAACCACUUACAUUACAUGAAGUUUCAGUUAAUGAAGCUGCUGCACAAAUAUGUCGUUUUGUACCGGCUUUAUUGACACGAAGAGAUGAACUUUUUCCUCUUGCUAGAAGAGUCGUUCGAGAUUCAGGCUAUCAUUAUUCAAAAAGUCAAUUUUUAUCAAUGACAAGACCAAGAGACAAUUGUGAUGAUUCUGAUAUGGAUCGUGCUAAAAGAAGACACUUGGAUGAUCCAGAGGGUGAGGACACAUCCCAGAUGGAAUUGGAUCUUCGAUGUACUGGUGGUGGAGAUAUCAACAAUUCAAUUUUACGAAGUACAUCAAGUUUGGCGGAAGAAGAAUAAUAAUGGUGUGUUUGGAACGAGUAUUGAAGAAAUCAGUGAUACAGACAGUCAAUUUUCAUUCUCAAAUGAUGAAUCAUCUUUACAUGAUCCAAAUGACUUUGAAAAUGAUAAUACAGAUAAAGAAAGUGAAUUCA